rnacentral:rRNA from 1 species
AACGUGGGGAACCUGCCCCAUAGUCUGGGAUACCACUUGGAAACAGGUGCUAAUACCGGAUAAGAAAGCGGAUCGCAUGAUCAGCUUUUAAAAGGCGGCGUAAGCUGUCGCUAUGGGAUGGCCCCGCGGUGCAUUAGCUAGUUGGUAAGGUAAAGGCUUACCAAGGCGAUGAUGCAUAGCCGAGUUGAGAGACUGAUCGGCCACAUUGGGACUGAGACACGGUCCAUACUCCUACGGGAGGCAGCAGUC